rnacentral:rRNA from 1 species
UCUGGUGACCAUGGAUGAGGGGAAACACCCGUUCCCAUUCCGACCACGGCCGUUAAGCCCUCAAUCGCCAAUGGUAGUGCAACCUAGAUGUUGUGCGAGAGUAGGUUAUUGCCAGUU